CAAGAUUGGAUGUUUUUCUCAGAGAUCUGCUCUAGGAAUUAUUUUUUUUUGAAAUUCUAUGACCUGCACUACAGUCUAUACAGAAAGAAAUGAUUGAUGAUCACAGUGGUCCCUUCUGGCCUUAGAAUCUAUGACUCUACAAAAAGAUACAGUGGAAGGCUCAACAGAACACAAACUGCAAAUACCUCCCUGCAAAAGUGUGGCAUGAAUAAAUGAAACUUACAACACUGCAAUCUAUUUGAAACAGGACUCAAGUUUCAUUACAAAAAUUGGGGUCCAAGAAGAAAUGAGAGAAAACUCACUUCCAGGACCCCGCACAGCUCACGAUCAAAGCUGCCAGAAUACUCUGCAUGACCAUGCUGCGCAACAACCGAAGCUUGCCUGGUCAGUAGGAGGAAGAUCGCCUGCGCACUUGGGAGUGCUGAAACUAGACUUGGGAAGAACGCUCUCAUUAGUCUGAGGUCCAAAAAGGAGAUGCACUAUCAAGGAGAAAUGGAGAUGGUGAAAGAGCUACUCAGAUUGCAUGUGACUUUUUUUUCCCCCCCCACCUGGCAGAGAAUUGCAAUUGAGCAGGCGGAUCCCAGUGUGAGCACUGAACAUGAGCAGCCUCAUCAGCAGGGAGAAGAUACUGCUAAAGAUCUUCAGCUUGCUAAAGUCAUGCUGCCUGGAAGGAACUUAACCUGGAAGAGCCCAAGGGAAGAGUUUGAGAUCUGUAUAUGGGCUAAGGCUCACAAGAGAGCUACUGCAGAGAGAAUGCCAGUGUCGACAGCAGAAGCCAAAGGCUGUCAGAUGAGAUGCUUUGCAGGCUUAAAACAGAAUCAAGAGAUGAUUACUGUUUUAUAGCUAUAUUCAAAAUAUGUUUAGCUUACGUGUAAUGUGGAAAGAUUUGCUUACUCCUGCAAACACACACUGAUAAGAGAAAAAAAUUGCAUUCCUUCCUUCCAAAGAUUACCCAUGAUUCAUUUUUCUCCCCAGUAAUUUUUACUUGCUUAAAUCUUUGCAUGAUCAGGGCUUUGCUUUCUAAACUCAUUAAAUACAUUCUUCCAUUUUCUACUUUGAUAGCUUUAGCUAAGUGCAUAUGCCAGGAAAAUGAAUCUCUUCAAUCAGAGACUCCUGCAAGGGUUUUGUAGACUUCUCCAAAAUGUUGGGUUUAGUCUGCUGAGAAAUCAUCUGUACAAACUAUUUCAGUCUUGUUGCUACUGGAAGUGCACUAAGGCCUAUUAUCUAAGUAACAAGGAGUCAUUAGCUCUUCCCUCAAGCAGGUUUUUUCACCUGGGAGUUUUCUCAGGUUAAUUUAAUAGUCUUGAAUAGUUUGUGCUGCAAACCCCAGCGAGAAGUCUAACAGGAGUUUUGAAUCUAUCUUGUUCUCCGAGAUUCUAAAUUAUUCAUGGAUUUUCAAAUAUUAUAUACACGUUUUCAUUUUAUGUUUUACAGAGAGGAAAUGAUGCUACAAACGAAAAACAGAAACACAAACAAAAAUCACUUCUAGGAAGCUUAUUUACAGGGACAGAAUAUGAAUUAGAAAAGACAAACUGUCUGCGUACUAUAUUCUAUGCUAACGUUACCAAGGGUGAAACUUUGAUACCACUCAGCAGAGAGGUAAAGCCAAACAUAUCUGCAUAUGUUUGGGUGCCAGGAUCUCACACAAUGAAAAUGUAGCAAUUUUUUUUUGACACAUUGAAAAUGGCAAAUGUAUAUGACUAGUGUCCAUUCAAUGUGUGUUGCAGGGGAAGGUAGAGGGUAAAAUGAAUGACACUGAGGCUAACCUGCAGAUACACAUAUAGCACAAAAAUGCCACGAAUAAUUUAAACACAACAUCCUUCCAAGUUACAGCAGUCUGACUGCAUGGAUUUGAGGCAGUGGGGGGAAAGUCACACUUCCCUCAAAGAAACAUUAUCAAGUCUGUGGUGCACCAAGGACCAGGAGCAGAGACGGUAAGGAGCAGCCGCCUCACUAAAGUGUCCAGAUAAGUCCUCAAUGUUAUAUGUGUUUGGGACUCACCAACAAGCAAAUGCACAGGUUCAUUUGGUUGGAAAUUAAAGUGACAUGAUUCUUUUUUGUGAAAUUUUAUUUUUAUAGUAUCAAGUGAUUUCCUCCAGAUCCCUAUGGAGGAGCUUGAAUCAAGAAAACCAACCCCCUGAGGUUCUUGUCUUAUAGUCAUUACUUUCUAGUUUUGUUUUAGCGUCAACCCCUGACUCUCUUCCUCUUGCUCUCUGAAUAGAUAAAUCUAUUUUCCUUGCUACUGUAUCCAAUUCUUAAUACCAUGUUUAGCACCAAACAGCUGAGUGAGCGUGGCAAAGAAGGCACUCCAGGCUUUGCUCACAAAUGGACUGAUUUAGAUGUUCCGUAAUAGCCUGUUUGUUGAAAACUGAAUCAUCUUGUACACACUAGGCCAUUUGUCUACUAAAACCCACAAAUGUGUACCUACUUCUCUCCUUAUGGCAAAUCUAUAAUGUGUAAGUUAUAUGAAUGAAUUUUAUUUUCCAAGCACAAAAUCCUUGAACAUACCGUAACCAUUUUCUCUUUCUCCAAUACUUCACGGUUUUUUAUGGCUCUUCUCACCUGAGUCUCUGUGACGUAAACCCACUUGCUUUUCCUCCAUUAAAGUUCCUUCCACAGCUCU